rnacentral:lncRNA from 1 species
UUCCCUUUUGCUCCUUUUGUUUUUUUUACGCGGGUGGGCCGAGGAGCGAGCGGGCCGGCGGCCCGUGGAGCUGCGUCCUCUUCUUUUUUGUUUUUGCGGUGCGGAACGGGGACUUUGGCUCCAGGCCCGUAGCUUCCCUUCUUCUGCCGAUUCUUUUCGGAACCUAACCUUAUUUGGCUUAUCCUUGGCAGAUCUUUUUUUGCAGGUGAGAUGGCGGGACCCGAUGUCGAGCGUCUGGUUGGUGAGCCGUCGAGGGGGU